GAUGAACGCUGGCGGCGUGCCUAAUACAUGCAAGUCGAGCGAACGGACGAGAAGCUUGCUUCUCUGAUGUUAGCGGCGGACGGGUGAGUAACACGUGGAUAACCUACCUAUAAGACUGGGAUAACUUCGGGAAACCGGAGCUAAUACCGGAUAAUAUUUUGAACCGCAUGGUUCAAAAGUGAAAGACGGUCUUGCUGUCACUUAUAGAUGGAUCCGCGCUGCAUUAGCUAGUUGGUAAGGUAACGGCUUACCAAGGCAACGAUGCAUAGCCGACCUGAGAGGGUGAUCGGCCACACUGGAACUGAGACACGGUCCAGACUCCUACGGGAGGCAGCAGUAGGGAAUCUUCCGCAAUGGGCGAAAGCCUGACGGAGCAACGCCGCGUGAGUGAUGAAGGCCUUCGGAUCGUAAAACUCUGUUAUUAGGGAAGAACAUAUGUGUAAGUAACUGUGCACAUCUUGACGGUACCUAAUCAGAAAGCCACGGCUAACUACGUGCCAGCAGCCGCGGUAAUACGUAGGUGGCAAGCGUUAUCCGGAAUUAUUGGGCGUAAAGCGCGCGUAGGCGGUUUUUUAAGUCUGAUGUGAAAGCCCACGGCUCAACCGUGGAGGGUCAUUGGAAACUGGAAAACUUGAGUGCAGAAGAGGAAAGUGGAAUUCCAUGUGUAGCGGUGAAAUGCGCAGAGAUAUGGAGGAACACCAGUGGCGAAGGCGACUUUCUGGUCUGUAACUGACGCUGAUGUGCGAAAGCGUGGGGAUCAAACAGGAUUAGAUACCCUGGUAGUCCACGCCGUAAACGAUGAGUGCUAAGUGUUAGGGGGUUUCCGCCCCUUAGUGCUGCAGCUAACGCAUUAAGCACUCCGCCUGGGGAGUACGACCGCAAGGUUGAAACUCAAAGGAAUUGACGGGGACCCGCACAAGCGGUGGAGCAUGUGGUUUAAUUCGAAGCAACGCGAAGAACCUUACCAAAUCUUGACAUCCUUUGACAACUCUAGAGAUAGAGCCUUCCCCUUCGGGGGACAAAGUGACAGGUGGUGCAUGGUUGUCGUCAGCUCGUGUCGUGGGAUGUUGGGUUAAGUCCCGCAACGAGCGCAACCCUUAAGCUUAGUUGCCAUCAUUAAGUUGGGCACUCUAAGUUGACUGCCGGUGACAAACCGGAGGAAGGUGGGGAUGACGUCAAAUCAUCAUGCCCCUUAUGAUUUGGGCUACACACGUGCUACAAUGGACAAUACAAAGGGCAGCGAAACCGCGAGGUCAAGCAAAUCCCAUAAAGUUGUUCUCAGUUCGGAUUGUAGUCUGCAACUCGACUACAUGAAGCUGGAAUCGCUAGUAAUCGUAGAUCAGCAUGCUACGGUGAAUACGUUCCCGGGUCU
rnacentral:rRNA from 1 species